rnacentral:rRNA from 1 species
GAUGAAUGCUGGCGGCGUGCCUAACACAUGCAAGUCGAGCGGCAGCGCGAGUAGUUUACUACUUGGCGGCGAGCGGCGGACGGCUGAGUAACGCGUGGGAACGUGCCUCAAAGUGAGGAAUAACUGCCCGAAAGGGUGGCUAAUGCCGCAUAUGAUCUUCGGAUUAAAGGAUUUAUCCGCUUUGGGAGCGGCCCGCGUCGGAUUGGGUGGUUGGUGAGGUAAUGGCUCACCAAGCCGACGAUCCGUAGCUGGUCUGAGAGGAUGAUCAGACAGACGGGGACUGAGACACGGCACAGACUCCUACGGGAGGCAGCAGUGACGAAUCUUCCACAAUGGGCGAAAGCCUGAUGGAGCAACGCCGCGUGAAGGAUGAAGGCCCUCGGGUUGUAAACUUCUUUUAUAAGUGAAGAAUAUGACGGUAACUUAUGAAUAAGCACCGGCUAACUACGUGCCAGCCGCCGCCGUAAAAC